rnacentral:rRNA from 1 species
UAGAGAUUCCGUCACCACCAAAAGAGUUAAACACAGGGACACAUUUGAAGUCUCGGAGCCGGGUGUUGGUUCCGGUAGUGAUCGAGGGAAGUUAGUACCGAAGUCCGGGAUGGAAGAUGGCGAGAAAAGCUGUGUGUAUUUCUGCGGUGCCCGUACCGCAAACCGACACAGGUAGGUAGGAAGAAGAUUCUAAGGCCAACGGGAGAAGGGUUGUUAAGGAACUCGGCAAAUUGACCCCGUAACUUCGGGAGAAGGGGUGCUCCAGAGAUGGAGCCGCAGAGAAUCGGCCCAAGCAACUGUUUACCAAAAACACAGGUUUGUGCUAAAUCGAAAGAUGUCGUAUACGAGCUGACGCCUGCCCGGUGCUGGAAGGUUAAGAGGAGAUGUGCAAGCAUUGAAUCGAAGCCCCAGUGAACGGCGGCCGUAACUAUAACGGUCCUAAGGUAGCGAAAUUCCUUGUCAGGUAAGUUCUGACCCGCAUGAAAGGCGUAAUGAUUUGGGCACUGUCUCGACAGCCCGCCCGGCGAAAUUGUAGUACCGGUGAAGAUGCCGGUUACCCGCGACAAGACGGAAAGACCCCAUGGAGCUUUACUGUAGCCUAAUAUUGGGUUUCGAUGUUGCAUGCACAGGAUAGAUGGGACACUGGGAAGCAAGUGCUUUGGCAUUUGUGGAGUGGCCGUUGGGAUACCAUCCUUGCGAUAUUGGAAUUCUAACCUGCGCCUUUGAAUCAAGGCGGGGGACAUUGUUAGGUGGGCAGUUUGACUGGGGCGGUCGCCUCCUAAAGAGUAACGGAGGCGUUCAAAGGUUCGCUCAGCUUGAACGGAAAUCAAGCAAUAGAGUGCAAACGCUGAAGCGAGCCUAACUGCGAGACUGACGGGUCGAGCAGUAACGAAAGUUGGAGUUAGUGAUCCGGUGGUAUGUGAGUGGAAAUGCCAUCGCUCAACGGAUAAAAGUUACCCUGGGGAUAACAGGCUGAUCUCCCCCAAGAGUCCACAUCGACGGGGAGGUUUGGCACCUCGAUGUCGGCUCAUCGCAUCCUGGGGCUGUAUUCGGUCCCAAGGGUUUGGCUGUUCGCCAAUUAAAGCGGUACGCGAGCUGGGUUCAGAACGUCGUGAGACAGUUCGGUCCCUAUCUGUCGUGGGCGCAGGAUAUUUGAUGGGAGCUGUUCCUAGUACGAGAGGACCGGAGCGGACGUACCUCUGGCGCACCAGUUGUUCUGCCAAGGGCAUAGCUGGGCAACUAUGUACGGAUCGGAUAAACGCUGAAAGCAUCUAAGCGUGAAGCCGACCCAAAGAUAAGAUAUCCCAUUGUUUCAAACAAGUAAGACCCCUUGAAGACUACAAGGUUGAUAGGCAUGAUGUGUAAGUGGAGUGAUCCAUUCAGCAAGCAUGUACUAAUAGGUCGAGGGCUUGACC